UGCGUAGGCGGAAUAUUAAGUCAGUGGUGAAAUCCUGCGGCUCAACCGUAGAACUGCCAUUGAUACUGAUAUUCUUGAAUGUAGUUGAGGUAGGCGGAAUGUGUAAUGUAGCGGUGAAAUGCUUAGAUAUUACACAGAACACCGAUUGCGAAGGCAGCUUACUAAACUAUGAUUGACGCUGAGGCACGAAAGCGUGGGGAGCGAACAGGAUUAGAUACACUGGUAGUCC
rnacentral:rRNA from 1 species